rnacentral:lncRNA from 1 species
CAUCAGAGCAUUUCAUAUCCAUCCAGAUCGACCAUGCUCAUUCGGGUCCACCAGGUCCUCGUUGUUCAGCUGAUCCAUGUAGGCUUGAUGAUGGUACCUUUGCCCAGGACGAACACACACACACACUCAUUAACGCGGCUAAGAUAUGAUGAAAGCAUGCUAAAGCUCAAGUGCUGAAUGUGGAUUCUAUUUCUCAACAGGAAAUUGUGAUGGUGUCAUGGACUCCGGACUCGUCCAUGCGAGGCUGGCUCCGAUGCGAUUGUGAUUGCUUAAGUUCAGGUAAUAUAUAGUUGUGUGUGUUUUCAUCUAUGCAUAUUUUGUUCUAUCUAUCAUAG